rnacentral:lncRNA from 11 species
CCUCAAUGCCAACUCAAGCUGCACAGACUGCACAGCCCCUUCUGCUAUCCAUUUCCCAGGGGCUGUUAAAAGAUAAAAGAAACAAAAAGAACAUCUAUCAACAAAAAUGAUAAUACAAAACAAUUUAAAAUUUUCAGUACCAAUUCUAUAUACAUAUACCUUACAAUACAUUGAAUGUAAAAUGUCUUAGUUUUAAAAAUUCCUAUUAACCCAAAU